rnacentral:rRNA from 1 species
UACGUAGGGUGCAAGCGUUGUCCGGAAUUAUUGGGCGUAAAGAGCUCGUAGGCGGUUCGUCACGUCGGCUGUGAAAACCCGGGGCUCAACUCCGGGCCUGCAGCCGAUACGGGCAGACUAGAGUUCGGCAGGGGAGACUGGAAUUCCUGGUGUAGCGGUGAAAUGCGCAGAUAUCAGGAGGAACACCGGUGGCGAAGGCGGGUCUCUGGGCCGAUACUGACGCUGAGGAGCGAAAGCGUGGGAGCGAACAGG